CUGAUGGCUGAUACUGAAAAGCUGAACAGUCGGGCCUGUGUUUCGAGAACACAGUCCCUAGCUCUGAUUCGGUCUGGUAA
ensembl:miRNA eel-mir-11051 eel-mir-11051